GGCGAACGCUGGCGGCAGGCCUAACACAUGCAAGUCGAGCGCUCGUAGCAAUACGAGAGCGGCAGACGGGAGAGUAACACGUGGGAACGUACCCUUUGGUUCGGGAUAACACAGGGAAACCUGUGCUAAUACCGAAUAAGCCCUUACGGGGAAAGAUUUAUCGCCGAAGGAUCGGCCCGCGUCUGAUUAGCUAGUUGGUGGGGUAACGGCUCACCAAGGCGACGAUCAGUAGCUGGUCGAGAGGAUGACCAGCCUCAUUGGGACUGAGACACGGCCCAAACUCCUACGGGAGGCAGCAGUGGGAAUCUUGCGCAAUGGGCGAAAGCCUGACGCAGCAACGCCGCGUGAGUGAUGAAGGCCUU
rnacentral:rRNA from 1 species